CGAAACCAUGCACAUUUACCUGGGGAGCCGGCCAGGGAGUCCCCUCUGCUGAAGGCGAAGUUUGCAGCAGUGGUGACAAUUUCAAGGCCAGGCCCUUCCUCAUCACUGUGGCUAGCAGACUGCGGGGCCACUGCGGUGCCCCCAGGGACCUGCGACAGGGAUUCGGGGCUCUCGGCAACACCGACCAGGGCAGCAUGGAGAGACCGGCACACAACGGCUUUGCUUCAAGAAGAAAGGAGGAGCGCCAACCCGACAAGGUAAACGCCCUGCGGACCUCUGCCUCUCACCCUGCCUCCUUGCUGUUCAGGGGUGCGACACCACACAAGCAACACACACAUGUCCUGCGACAGGCAAAGGUGGCUGGAUGGGAGAAAACAUCUUGUGACACCACAUCAUGCGUGAGCACACGGAGAAAAGCGGCCCUGGGCCGCGGCCAGCGGCCGCACAGCGGCAACGCGAGCGGCCGGUGGCCCGGCAGGUGGCACUGCGAACGCGCGUGACGGCGCGGGCGCGGCCUGGACCGCGGCUGGCUUCCCGGCGGCACAGCCAGCCCCAGCGCGGGGCUUGGAAGCCACUGCCCUGCUUCCCCCAUCGCCUGCCAGCAGCGUUUGCAACGCGAACGCAGUGCCAGCCUUGGGGCCGGGCACCGGCGCGACCCUCCUCCAUGGCUGGCGGGGGCCCUGGGGCCAGUCCUGAGAGGGC